CUGUCGGCCUGCUGCAAAAACAAGAACAAGGACCAAGGACUAGACGCAAACACAUGUCAUCGCACGCCCAGAUUGAACAGAUUUAACAAGCGACGACGUAAUGCCUGAGACUCUCUGCCGGUCGCAUUUACAAAAUAUGUACAACGGGAGUUGAUGCAAAACGACCUUACUAUAUCUGCGAAUUCAAUUUGACCACAGAUGAACACAAAGUGAAUUUAAAAUGUUUUCAAUAAUUUUGUUUUCAUACAAAGAAAACCAGCCUGACUAAAAAUUCCUUAGAGAUCACAAUAACGAGUGAAUAAAACGGAGGCCAAAAAAUGGUACGUAUAAUGAAGUCAUAACCACACACGAAUAGAAUCAUUUUGGUGGUCCAUAAAAAAUGCACAUAGGAUAAGAGGAAAUCCAAAGCAAAGGACACUUUUUUCCCAUGGUCAAUAUGUACGUAUGUGGGUGAGUGGAAUUAUCCCGAAAUGAGCUUCAAUGCCAAAACACCCCUAUGCGCUUGCCAAUAACUCAACCUACCAGGAAGAGUAAAUACAAAAAAAAUUUUAUCUGCCACGGACCGGCAUUUACAUAAAACCGAUUUCUGACAAGGUCCUGGCAUAACCGAAAAAAAAAAACAGAAAAAAAACGAAAAACUAUAGAAAAUGGAAAACUUACUGGGAGGUUUAUGCUGAAAAUUUUAAAUUAACUUUCUGAUGGCUGAGGCACUCAACCGAACAAGCACAUAUGACAAGCCGCUUACUCCUGCCUGCGACUCCUGCCAGAAUCCUGCUCCUUCCUGCGCGUCGUGCUGCCACUUAAUUAAGGACAUUGCUCCCUUGGCCCAAGGCAUGCAAAUGAAGAGCGUGGCUGGGCGUAAAAAAAUCAUUUUCUAUUAGCAAGCAAACAAUUUUAGCGCCGCAGUGUAAUAAAAUUUCUCGGAGUGGCGGACUAGUGGGGAAAUAGCGACAGCCCUCUCACUUAUCAAGGCUGAUAAAAAGCAAUAACGGAAAAAUACUUCGCCACCCACAGGAGCUGAAGCUGCAGCUUUUCGCACCCAACAAGACACAAAAAAUUAAACAAAAACUGUUCUCUAUAUUCUACUGGCAUUCACAUCCGCACACAAAUGAUUCAUUGUUUUCCUUUUAGUUCCGUAGAUAAUGGUUUUUCUAAUAAAUCACAAAUAUGUAUGUAAAAAAAAUGUA